GUUUUCUUUAUAAAUGCUGAUAUUAAUCAAUUAUCAGCUAUAUAUGUUACAAAUAUGUUCUCCUUGUUUGUACCCUACUUUUUCUUCCUCCCUUCCUUGUUACUUUCCCCCAAAAUAUCUGUGGGUUUGGAAUAAGAGGGGGAUCUAUCCAUGUCAGUUCAGCCCAUCACAUUGUAUAGAGAUUCCCAGUAGACUCUUCCUCUUAAAUUUUCCCAUUCCUAGCUGCUUCAGCAGUCUUUCCUAGCGAACUUUUUGGAAAAAUAGACAACUCACUUGACAUAUGAGUUAUUUUCACUUUCAAAUUGUGAACAUACAGUAAUUAUUUUUUUAUUUUUCCCACUGAGUACCAUUUGGAAUUAAACCAAUUUCUAAUAUUCCUCCAUAACCUUAGCUGACUGAACACAUAAUUUAUGGGUAAUUGCAUAAUUUAUGUGCAACUUGACAGCUGCUAUAAUGCUUAGCGAAUUUUAAUAACAUUAGAAUUAUUUGCCUAAAUGGUAUUCUGAGAGUCAAAAUUUUCAUUUUGUUCUGUUUUUCCUUCUCCAAAGCUCUUAAUUCUGCAUGAAAUACAACAUUAAGUCUACAAAUAUUCUUGCUUUCAGUUCUCAGGUUAUAUCGAAACUCUAUUUCAGUGGUUUAUAAAUUCUCUAAGGAGAGAGACUCUGUUGAUUUUGCUUCCCAAUGUAUUCCUUGUGCUGGAGCACCAUACCUGGCACAUAGUAGCUUCUUUAGAAAAUACUUGCUUAAAAUAAAAUACUUGCUUAAUGAAUUAUAUGAUGUAUAAACCCACAAAAAUUUGGCCAUAUAUCUUUAAGAAUCUAAAACUGUUCAGAGGCUGUGGACCAAUAAAUCUGUUUUGAGGCAUGCAUUCUAAGAAAGAGCUCUGAUCAAUGCAGGCAGAUUUAUAUACAAGGAUGUUUAUGCAGUCACUACUGAUAAAUAACUUUGGAAGCAUAAACAUGAAAUAUUCAACAAUAAUGAAUUUGUUCAAAUAGUUAUGGGACAUACAAAUAAUAAUGUCAUGAUGUCGUUAAAAAUCACAUUUUCAAAGCACAUAAAAAACACAUACAAAACAGUGUUAAGUAAAUAACACAGAACCCGGAACCGAAUUAUUCAACAUGAUCCUAAUUUUGGUAUAUGAUAUGCAGGCAUAGAGAAAACCGGAAAGAAAUAGACCAGUAGUUUUCAGUAGCUGUCUUUGAGGGGUGGGAAUCACCCAUAUGUAUGGCUACUGCAUUAGACUGCAAACACCUUAAAAUUAGUACCAAGUAUUUUAGCUUGGUAUUGCUAUAGUUUAGCACUGCACUUGGGACUUGUGGUACUCAACAAUUCAUUAGAAAAUGCCCUUAAAAACAGUAUAAAUACUUAAUCCUUUAUAGCCCAUUAUCAAUAACUUGUCAUUGGUCAUGUAUUCUAAAAUUUCUUUUAUCAUCAUAUAUUUCUGUUUGCAGACAGGUGGUUGGCGGGCCAUGCCAGCCGCAUCCACCACAGGCAUUCUGGGGCCUGGAAAUGGCAGAGGCUCAGAGGCACCAGCCCUCGAAUGCCUGCAGGCUGCGACGACAAAGUGUUUUUGCAGAAUUUAUGACUUAGUUGUGUGAAAGGAACUCUGCAUGCAGAGUGUGUGCAUCUUUGAUUUGAAAUACAGGUAUUUCCAUUCACUUCUGGUGGGAGGUCAUCAAACACGAGGCACUAAGCGUGCUGAGCCUGCCAUGGCUUCCAUAAAUUAUCUAUGGUGAUUGCAUUUUGGCUACUUAAGGAUGAUUUGGAGUUUUGGGCUGUAUGUUGUCAUUAAGAAAUAUUCUGAUCUCAUCACAUUACCCAGUUGAUUGCUGUUGAACAAGAAAUGCAGCAAGACUGGAAGGCAAACCAAAGAAAGGCUUUUGUUUGGAGCCUGAGAACUGCAGUUUGGGAGAGACUGAGGAGCAGGAAUGAAAAAUCUGUUCCAAAGCAAGGAGAAAAGAGGCGGGCUUACAAAGGCAAAGAGGAGGCUCCCUGUAAAGCCACGUAAGUUGUUUGUCAAGAAUUGUGAUUGGUGUUGACAAGCUGAAGCUAUUCUCACCUGCACGUGGUUGGUUGCUAAGGGCUAUCACUAAGCAAAAAGUCUGUGUUCUAAGAAGAAAGAAGUUCAUUUCUUGACACGGCAGCAUUGCCACUGGUGCUCCAAGAUGCUUGGCAACGACCUAUAUUUUCAAGUUUAUCUUUUCUUUCAGGUGGGGAUGUACAUCAGCUCUGCUUCCUCGAUGGCCUCCUGGCUCCAUUUGGAAUCAGUCUCUCAGCAGCACCGACUCUGUGUUGAUAUUUUCUUUCACGUCGCUAAGAUCUGAUCCUGUGUGGAAAGUGUGAGACUCUCAGUGCUGAUUUUGUAGUCCAGCCAGAAGAACCUUGGAAAGAAGAAAAAUAUCGUCCUCAUCUUCAAUUGGCCUAGUUGGCAGGUUACACUUCCACUGGAUAUUUGCCGUGAAAGUUCUGCAGCUUUGAGAUCUUGGGACAUCGGACAGAUAGCUGGUAGAAGAUUUUAUUCAUUUGAGAGAGAGAGAGAACACAAGUAGAGGGAGGAGCAGAGAGGAAGGAG